GGAGAAAGCAUCACCAAAACAUAGGAGCAGAGACUGGUAGUGACCAGAGGACAGUGCCUCUCUCUGGCAUCUGCACCCCUCCAUGGGAUUUUCAGGGACCCGGGCACAGAGAAAGAAGCUCACCAUAAAGAGGUUCAUGGGAGAGUGGGCUGUGUGCUGUGAGGGGUUUGGUGCCUGUAAGAUGGUUUUUCCCUUCCUUAAUUCUGGGGAUAGUGUGGGGCUUUCGUGGCAGCAACUGAGCAAGAAGCAAGGGAGAAUGGCUGGAGGAAAGCUUAAGUGGUGGGCUACAAGGCCUACCCCUACCAGCGACCAUCUAAGCGUGUCCUGAGUGUCCACUCCAUGGAUGCCCAGAAUAGUGACUGUCACCAGCCUCUCCCAAGCAAGAAGACCAAGGAACUGCAAGGCUGGAAAUGGAUCUGAGGCUGAUAGAACCUUGCCACCCUGGGAGGUCCUCCGAGAGGUUGAUGCCUGCUGAGUGGAAUAGGAGACUCUGCUCGUGGCUCAAUCAUCAUUGUGAUGCCCACCUACCUGUCUACAAUAGCACCCUGGUUCAUCCUCCUCCUCUUGGCGGUGCCAAGGCUGCAAGCCCCAAAGCUUCGCUGACCAGCAAGUCUUUGACAGUCCCUGCUCACUGAGCCACUCUGCCCCAGUGACCUACAUUAUCCUUCUCAGCACCUGUUCUCAUCUGAAAUCCGCUCGAGUUUCUUUCUUAGGUAUCUGUCAUCCAUCUUCCAGCCCCAAACCGCUA
rnacentral:lncRNA from 1 species